AAGAUUUAUUGGCAACUUCAGUCAUCCUGCUCUUGAUGGCCUUCUUCAGAGAGUCGAUGGACUCCCUGUUCAUCUUAACUGAUGUCACUGCAACCCAGGCAGAUGUGGAGGCACAGCAGGUGAUACCAGAGACACCCAGACUCAUUAUGCUCGGUUUCUGGCCAGAAUCAACCCUGAAGAUGGGAAAAAAUGCACAUCCAGACAGGGAGUAAGCAAAUAGACAGGGAAGGUGGUGCAGAGAAAGGCAGUGGCCAUUAACCCCCACGUGAACAGCUUCAUGCAGUCCCUGAUGGAGUUUGAAUGGAAGACUUCAAACUAAAGGCCAGUGGUCUAUCUGCCACAGUUUAAUGCAUUACUGUUCAGUCCUUUAUGAAAUUGGAGUAGAAUAUUCAAAACUAUGUGCAAGUGUUCUCUUUACCUCAGUUAAAUAUGUUACAGUUUAGUCGUUGAUGAACUUUGAAUAGAAAAUGUCAAACUGCGGGCCAGUGUUCUCUUUGCGAGAUUUAAAUGUUACAGUUUAGUCCUUGAUGAAGUUUAAAUGGAACAUUUUAAACUACAGACCAGUGUUCUCUUAGCCAGAGUUAAAUGACACCUGUUACUUUGUUGCUAUUGUUUCUUUUGAUGUGUAAUGUUUAAAUUUCUAGUCACUUAAAUGUUGUAAUAUAUACAUAGUCGUUAUUCAGUUUUUAUUAA